GAGGUUCUUUUACGACUAAAGGAUGAAGAAAUUAGAUAUCUUCGCAAACAAAUUGAAGACAAGAAGACAUUUAGGAGACCUCGAAGUAAUUCUGCAGCUAAGUUUACAUAAAAUCUUAUCAUUUGCAUUGUCUAAGUGUUGUUCGCCUUUUACUGUCGUCCAAUUGUGGCUACGUUAUAAUAGAUUCGAACAUGGAUAAGUAAAGCAACAUUCUUGAUUGAAUCUAUUAUUAGCCUCAUUUGGAUAUUGCUCUUUCCACUAAUUGUCUGAAGACUUUCUAAUGUGAAUGUAUUACGAAAUUGUAUAUUGUUAUUCUGCUUUAUCAGUUGGGAUGUUGAACUUAGUGGGUGCAUGCGAUGACGACGGCAUAUUUCGCGAUCAGGUGACACAACCAUCUUAAGAAAUAGCGCAGGGAAUGUCAGGACGUGGGCGGUCCUGUGCCGUCUAUUAUUGAAUCAUUUUUUUCAUUUUAUUUUCAUUAAUGUUAUUAUCUUUUAUAUUGAGGCAAACCUCGAAAACUGAGUUUUAUUGACUGUUGAUAUAUUACUUCCGGUGUAACAUAGAUGAUACCAGAACAAUUAUUUUGGUACAUAGAACCAUUACUAAAAUGGCUAUGUUUCUAUCAUUAAUCUAUUCCGGCGAAAAUCAAAUAUUUAUUUUUGAAUGGAGGGUCAGUCUCAAAGGCCAAUUUCUUAUGGUGUCUUAUUUCAGCCGUAGAGCGAAUGCUCAACUUGCGCGUCUACAGUUUACUUCCGUUUUAUGACAAAUAUGUAUAUCUGCACUUAACCACUCAUGCCUUAAUAUCUCAUGCCGUUUGCACUGAGACUCUCGGAUCUAAUUCCAUAAUCAGAACAUUUACUACUUGUUCUACGCGACUUUCCAUAUUUAGUAAUAUAGCAACAAUAAUGGCGUUGCAAAAAGCAAUGCUAAUAUUUUUAUUUCUCUCGCUGUUACCUCUGUCAGUUCAGGCUCGACUGCGUAUACUUAAUCCGCAACCCCAGCCCUUUACACCUUUUUCGUUUUCAUCUUAAAAAGUAUUUGUCUUGUGGAUAUACCGAACAAUUUACAGGAUUUAUUCAAAUACUUUGCGGUCUUCAGAUUCAGAGGGUUUUAAUACAACCACGGAGGACAAAGAAAAACUGCUAAAGGAAAAAGACGACGAGAUAAUUGCAUUAAAAAAACGCCUUAAAGAAGCAGAAGAUAACGCGAUCUGCAACCCAACUGAAUCAGAGAAGCGAAAAGAUGAAGAAAUACUAGCAUUAAAAAAACGACUUAAAGAAGCAG